GAGUUUGAUCGUGGCUCAGAGUGAACGCUGGCGGUAGGCCUAACACAUGCAAGUCGAACGGCAGCACAGUAAGAGCUUGCUCUUAUGGGUGGCGAGUGGCGGACGGGUGAGGAAUACAUCGGAAUCUACUUUUUCGUGGGGGAUAACGUAGGGAAACUUACGCUAAUACCGCAUACGACCUACGGGUGAAAGCAGGGGAUCUUCGGACCUUGCGCGAUUGAAUGAGCCGAUGUCGGAUUAGCUAGUUGGCGGGGUAAAGGCCCACCAAGGCGACGAUCCGUAGCUGGUCUGAGAGGAUGAUCAGCCACACUGGAACUGAGACACGGUCCAGACUCCUACGGGAGGCAGCAGUGGGGAAUAUUGGACAAUGGGCGCAAGCCUGAUCCAGCCAUACCGCGUGGGUGAAGAAGGCC
rnacentral:rRNA from 1 species